rnacentral:rRNA from 1 species
CGAAAGAAAAGAGUGGCGAACGGGUGAGUAACACGUGGGUAACCUGCCCAUCAGAAGGGGAUAACACUUGGAAACAGGUGCUAAUACCGUAUAACAAGUAAAACCGCAUGGUUUUACUUUGAAAGGCGCUUUUGCGUCACUGAUGGAUGGACCCGCGGUGCAUUAGCUAGUUGGUGAGGUAACGGCUCACCAAGGCAACGAUGCAUAGCCGACCUGAGAGGGUGAUCGGCCACAUUGGGACUGAGACACGGCCCAAACUCCUACGGGAGGCAGCAGUAGGGAAUCUUCGGCAAUGGACGAAAGUCUGACCGAGCAACGCCGCGUGAGUGAAGAAGGUUUUCGGAUCGUAAAACUCUGUUGUUAGAGAAGAACAAGGAUGAGAGUAAAAAGUUCAUCCCUUGACGGUAUCUAACCAGAAAGCCACGGCUAACUACGUGCCAGCAGCCGCGGUAAUACGUAGGUGGCAAGCGUUGUCCGGAUUUAUUGGGCGUAAAGCGAGCGCAGGCGGUUUCUUAAGUCUGAUGUGAAAGCCCCCGGCUCAACCGGGGAGGGUCAUUGGAAACUGGGAAACUUGAGUGCAGAAGAGGAGAGUGGAAUUCCAUGUGUAGCGGUGAAAUGCGUAGAUAUAUGGAGGAACACCAGUGGCGAAGGCGGCUCUCUGGUCUGUAACUGACGCUGAGGCUCGAAAGCGUGGGGAGCAAACAGGAUUAGAUACCCUGGUAGUCCACGCCGUAAACGAUGAGUGCUAAGUGUUGGAGGGUUUCCGCCCUUCAGUGCUGCAGCUAACGCAUUAAGCACUCCGCCUGGGGAGUACGACCGCAAGGUUGAAACUCAAAGGAAUUGACGGGGGCCCGCACAAGCGGUGGAGCAUGUGGUUUAAUUCGAAGCAACGCGAAGAACCUUACCAGGUCUUGACAUCCUUUGACCACUCUAGAGAUAGAGCUUCCCCUUCGGGGGCAAAGUGACAGGUGGUGCAUGGUUGUCGUCAGCUCGUGUCGUGAGAUGUUGGGUUAAGUCCCGCAACGAGCGCAACCCUUAUUGUUAGUUGCCAUCAUUUAGUUGGGCACUCUAGCGAGACUGCCGGUGACAAACCGGAGGAAGGUGGGGAUGACGUCAAAUCAUCAUGCCCCUUAUGACCUGGGCUACACACGUGCUACAAUGGGAAGUACAACGAGUCGCGAAGUCGCGAGGCUAAGCUAAUCUCUUAAAGCUUCUCUCAGUUCGGAUUGUAGGCUGCAACUCGCCUACAUGAAGCCGGAAUCGCUAGUA